UUUUAUGUAAAGUCUUUAUUAUGUUUAUGUAAUUGACACUUUGAGCUUAAAUUAUAUAUGUUUCUGUUGUUACCUGUUUUCUCUUGUAUACAUAAUAUUAUGAAUGAUGAUAACAGGUUCUGACUUAGAUAAAGUAUUCUAAGUAUUAUCGUUGGACCCAUUAUGUAUUUAAAAGGUUAUGUUAGGUAAUAGACUAAUAUUGUAGUACAUGGAAGGAACUAUAUCAAGUAAAGGGACG
rnacentral:lncRNA from 1 species